rnacentral:lncRNA from 1 species
UUUCUCUGUGAGGGUCCUCAGCUGACCUCCAAAAACUGUAAACUCCUUCUGCGAAGAUUCCACUUUCUGAACGGUGCUGAGCCCAAUGCUGGGACUGCCUAUUGGCAGAUCCAAAUGGAGGCAUAACACAGGUUUUAGCCUCACAAAUCCGAAUAUGGGGAUCAAUCGGGAUUCAUGAUCCAAGUAAUGUUUUAGGUGUUGAGGUCCAAGACACCCAGGAGAGCAAGCAGCUUAAGGGAAGUCUAAAUGGCAGAGAGGAAGCUAACUCUUCACCACCUUGGCUUUCCCUGCUCAAGGGACUUUGG